AUACGGGAGGCAGCAGUGGGGAAUCUUGCGCAAUGGGCGAAAGCCUGACGCAGCGACGCCGCGUGGGGGAUGAAGGCCCUCGGGUUGUAAACCCCUUUCGGCAGGGACGAAGCGGUUUCGUGACGGUACCUGCAGAAGAAGCCUCGGCUAACUACGUGCCAGCAGCCGCGGUAAGACGUAGGAGGCGAGCGUUGUCCGGAUUCAUUGGGCGUAAAGAGCACGCAGGCGGUUUGGCAAGUCGGAUGUGAAAACCCGGAGCUCAACUCCGGGCCUGCAUCCGAAACUGCCCGACUAGAGGUAGGUAGGGGAGAUCGGAAUUCCUGGUGUAGCGGUGAAAUGCGCAGAUAUCAGGAGGAACACCGGUGGCGAAGGCGGAUCUCUGGGCCUUACCUGACGCUCAGGUGCGAAAGCUAGGGGAGCGAACAGGAUUAGAAACCCUAGUAGUCCA
rnacentral:rRNA from 1 species